rnacentral:lncRNA from 1 species
GAAAACUAAAAAAUAAAUAUUAAAAAAAAAUUCUCUCUCUCUCAAAAAAAAAAGUCUCUCAGAUCAUAGUAUAUGACCUCUGUAGAUUGAAGCUAUAAAUCCAGGAACAAAAUGGUAGAGUUUCAAAAUAAAUUCUUUUAUAUAACUCAUGGUCAAAGAAGAUGAUAUAAAGACGAGUUAGAAAAUAUUUUCAACAGAAUUAUUUUAAAAAUACUAUAUAUCAGAACUUUUAGGAUGUAGUCAAAGCUGCUCUUAGAGGGAGAUUUAUAGUUUUAGAAAAGUUGAAAGGCCAAAAAUCAAGAUAAAUAUCAUAAUUAGCAGAGAGAGAGAGAGAGAGACGAGAGAGAGAAAGAAAAGCCCAAGGGAAACAGAAGGAAGAAACUAGUAAAGACAGGAGUGGAAUAAAUCAUAUGGAAAAGUUAUAGUAGGAAAGAUUAGUACAGGGCUGGGGAUAUAGUUCAAGGGUGGAGGACUUGCCUAGCAUGUGCUUGAUCCUGGAUUCCAUCCCCAGCACCCCCAGCCACCACUACUGCACCAAAAAAAAAAAAAAAGUAAAGAUGAACAAAGGUAAAAAUUGGUAAUUGGUUCUUUGAAACACCUAGUAAAAGUUGACAAACCUCUGGUGAAACUGAUAAGUGGAAAAAAAGACAAUCCAUGAAAUGAAAAGAAAAAGAAGCCACUGUGGAUUCAGUACCUAUAAAAAUAUAAGGAUAUUAGAAGUUGCAACAUGCCAAUUAAUUUGAAAACUUAGAUGAAAUAGACACAUUUCAUGAAAUGUGUACUUACUAAGAUCAGCUGUGUUGUUUAGAUUUGCAAAGAUGUGAGUGGAGGAACAUUGGGCAUGCAUGCGUGUGUGCAGCCCUAUGGCCUCAACUGGUUGAACAGUUUUUGACCACCAGAUAAGGGCUACCUGAAAGCACAGGUGUUAUGUCCCUGUGGAAUGGAAGGCCUGUGGGGGGCUGGCUGGCAUGCUCUGCCUGGGUCAGGCUCUAGCCCCAUGCCUUCCCGAGAUGUUCUAAGCUCAAGCAGACUCUUGCCUCACAGCUGACCUGGACAGCAUCAGCUGCAGACUUGUUUGUGCACAUGUUUGGGUUCUUUGGGAAAGAGUGAGAGUCAUUGUGAGUCUCUGAAUAAAAAAGGAAAACUUCACUGAUUCUGACCUGGCUUGUGUAUUCAGAGGGGGAACCAGCUCUGGCCAGGGCAGCUGUGAGUCUGCCUGGACAGGCCCCAACUCUAGAAGCUGAUGGGUUCAGAGGAGGGCUUAUGCCUAGCAAAAAAUUG